AUCGCUUCUCGGCCUUUUGGCUAAGAUCAAGUGUAGUAUCUGUUCUUAUCAGUUUAAUAUCUGAUACGUCCCCUACCCGGGGACCAUAUAUUAAAUUGAUUGAUUUUUGGAACAGGGAGAUAGAAUAGGACAGUCGACCCGGUAUUGCAGUAUCUCCGGGACCGGUGCACCCCCU
rnacentral:snRNA from 1 species